rnacentral:tRNA from 1 species
GAGGGUAUAGCUCAAAUGGUAGACUGCAUGCUUGAUGUGCAUAGGGUGCUGGGUUCAAUCCCCGGUACCUUCU